rnacentral:rRNA from 1 species
AGUCGAGCGAACGGACGAGAAGCUUGCUUCUCUGAUGUUAGCGGCGGACGGGUGAGUAACACGUGGAUAACCUACCUAUAAGACUGGGAUAACUUCGGGAAACCGGAGCUAAUACCGGAUAAUAUUUUGAACCGCAUGGUUCAAAAGUAAAAGACGGUCUUGCUGUCACUUAUAGAUGGAUCCGCGCUGCAUUAGCUAGUUGGUAAGGUAACGGCUUACCAAGGCAACGAUGCAUAGCCGACCUGAGAGGGUGAUCGGCCACACUGGAACUGAGACACGGUCCAGACUCCUACGGGAGGCAGCAGUAGGGAAUCUUCCGCAAUGGGCGAAAGCCUGACGGAGCAACGCCGCGUGAGUGAUGAAGGUCUUCGGAUCGUAAAACUCUGUUAUUAGGGAAGAACAUAUGUGUAAGUAACUGUGCACAUCUUGACGGUACCUAAUCAGAAAGCCACGGCUAACUACGUGCCAGCAGCCGCGGUAAUACGUAGGUGGCAAGCGUUAUCCGGAAUUAUUGGGCGUAAAGCGCGCGUAGGCGGUUUUUUAAGUCUGAUGUGAAAGCCCACGGCUCAACCGUGGAGGGUCAUUGGAAACUGGAAAACUUGAGUGCAGAAGAGGAAAGUGGAAUUCCAUGUGUAGCGGUGAAAUGCGCAGAGAUAUAGAGGAACACCAGUGGCGAAGGCGACUUUCUGGUCUGUAACUGACGCUGAUGUGCGAAAG